ensembl:lncRNA novel transcript
ACCCCUUAAAUCGCACAGUCGGGCCCAGGGUUCAGCUGCCACCGACGCCAGGUCCUGGGACCAUAAGCUCGCGUGUCUCCACAGUUGCACAUUCCCGUCCGUCUGCAGCUCAUUAUCUGGGCCACAAGGACGUUACCCCAUGACUUGGAAGGACGCGCCAUCACGCAGGAGGUCACAAAGUGGACGGCAGGAAAGCCAGCCUUCCCUCUUCUGCCUUCCUCCUCACCUCUCUCUCUCUCUCUCAGUACUUUGUUCUUGUUAAUAUCAGUGUAUCAAUGA